AACCUUGCGCAAUGGUCGAAAGUCUGACGGAGCAACGCCGCGAGAGUGACUAAUGAUAUCGGGUCNAAAAAAUUUUUUGUCAGCGANAAACAUCCGGGAUGACCUCCCGGUCUGACGGUACAUGAUCAGAAAGCCUCGGCUAACUAUGUUCCAGCAGCCGCGGUAAUACGUAGGGUGCAAGCGUUGUCCGGAAGUAUUGGGCGUAAAGCGCGCGCUGUCGUUUACGUAUGUGUGGUGUUAAAGCCCGCAGCUCAACUGCGGAGGGCCAAGGGAAACUGGGAGACUUGAGUGUAGGAGAGGAGAGCGGAAUUCCACGUGUAGCGGUGAAAUGCGUAGAUAUGUGGAGGAACACCCGUGGCGAAAGCGGCUCUCUGGCCUAUAACUGACGCUGAGGCGCGAAAGCGUGGGGAGCGAAC
rnacentral:rRNA from 1 species